rnacentral:rRNA from 1 species
GACGAGGGGUCCAAGCGUUGUUCGGAAUUAUUGGGCGUAAAGCGGGUGUAGGUGGCUCUGUAAGUCAGGAGUGAAAGCCCCGAGCUUAACUUGGGAAGUGCUUUUGAUACUGCAGAGCUUGAAUGUGGUAGAGGAUCGUGGAAUUCCAGGUGUAGCGGUGAAAUGCGCAGAUAUCAGGAGGAACACCGGUGGCGAAGGCGGGUCUCUGGGCAGUAACUGACGCUGAGGAGCGAAAGCGUGGGGGAUCAAACAGG